ensembl:lncRNA
CAUGCUCCAGCAGCCUUCUGCGUUUUGUGUAUCCCCGUGUUUUAAAAUGGCUGACCCAUUCUGGAGCAACACACUCCUUAUCAGAGGUGUGCAAUUUAUUUUGGCAGUUAAGUAAAAGUUGUCAUCUUGAUUAUAAUCUUGAAAGGUGUAGAAAGGUUUUUUGGGAUUGCUUUUUUUAAUCUAGGCUGGUAAACAUUCAUGGCCAUCUUGCAAGAUCCAGGCUACCCAACCUUUUUGGAAUAUAUUUCUACAAACAGCUUUUGUUUAAAAUGUGCUCAUAAAGAAUCACUAAAGCAAAUUAGGAAAAAAAUACACAUCCUAAUUUAGGUGAAGUCCUCAGAAGAUCUGAAAAUUAAAUGAACAUGUCAUGGCUAGAUUAGCUUUGUUUGUAAUGCUAGUAUUUAGAUGCAUCAUUUAUAAGCAUAAUCAAGGGACGUUUAUUCACUUCAAAGGGCAUAAUGUAACCUACUGAGCUGCAUUUGCUAUAGUUUGUUUAUAUUGGUUUUGGGAUUUGAUGGGCACUCUUCAUCUUCUCCUUAUUUGUGGUUUAAAUUAAAAGGUCAUACAGUCCAAGUUUAAAGAAAAAAAUCUGUGUUUCUGGCCGCUGUAGCCUAUUGGUCAGCCUACUUUGAAACUGUAUUUUGGAGUGAUUCAUUCCCUAGAGGUAUAAUGAUCAUUUUUCACAUACAACCACUAUUCAUUCUCUCUGGAGACUCCUUGGUUCACUUCAGCCUAUCAAGUACAUAUGUAAGGUCCCUUUUCAAAGAGGGAUACAGCAUGACAUAGCGUCCCAUCCUAAGACAAGGGUGAGCAAGUUAAUAGGCAAAAGAAUCAACAGACUGCUUCUGUCUGAACUGAUGUAUGGCAUAUUGGUAUGUCUGACUUUAUACCAGUGGGGUUUGAAAAUUCUUCAUCAUGAGCACAGCGAUUCAUUGCAGUGAAAUACUGUGAUAAUGUUUACCAGAAUUCUGCAGUCAACGUGAUUAAGUUUGAGAU